rnacentral:misc_RNA from 1 species
CAGUCCGUAUUUUUUAUUGUCCGAUCUCUCGGGGUAAACAAAAUAAACGAAACGAAACUCAAACGACCUUUUCUAUAUUUCAGUGUUGAUUUCCCAGGGAUCGAAUUGCUUGAUGCAUGGAGUGUAGUUAGAGGAGCAGGAGUAAGAUUAGCAGCAGAAGUAUUGUUUCAGAUGCAAUAAUUCUUGCUCACAAUCAGCAGCGGCGACGAAGUCUUCGAAGUGAGCGGAGCAGAGAUUGAGAUUCUCCCGUCACUGCCCCGCUACAAAGUUAAGAUAAACCGACUGACCGAGAGUCCUCCUCUGACAGCUACAGUCUGAGGUUUGAAAAUGUUCAUCAACCAAUCAUUCAAAUAGAGACUCUAAACACAAUGAGACAGAUUAGCUUGCUUGCUGCAGGGUGUCAGCCAUGGAACAGAGAUGUUUGUGCUGCCUCAGGUGAUAGGUUUGCAUACUGUGCCACUUUAGCUGUCUACAUCUACCAGCUGGAUAGAGUCUACAAUGAAUUUAAGCUGCAUUCCAUUGUAGCUGAACACCGUAAGACCAUCACCGCCCUUGCUUGGCACCCUAAGAACUCGGACCUCUUUGCAACAGCCGGAGCGGAUAACCGGAUCAUCGUGUGGCAUGUCUCAGAGCAGCGGGUCGCCUACUCGUUGGAGGGGACCAGGGCCACCCCGACCUCUCUCAGCUGGUCAAUGGCGGACGACCUCGUCCUAAGCUUUUGCAGUGGGCGUGGUCCAUUGCAGGUUUGGAACAUGCACCUGGCUAACAGCAUCAAUGCCCACAAGGAAGCGGCCAACUUUGCGUCAGAGGUUACUCUUGUCCGAUGGCAUCAUCAACAGGUUGGGAAGCUGGUGACUGGCCAUUUGAAUGGGAGCUUGUCAUUCUUCACCACCGGUAAGAAGUGUUCCAAGCACGUUCUCCAACCCGAAUCCGAGGAUGAAGACGAAGACGAUCCCGUUGUCGCCUUGGAAUGGGAUCCGUUAUCGGAGGACUACCUUCUCGUCAUCAAUGAACAGGGUGAGAUGCGGAUGAUAGACAGUGUUUCCCUGAAUGUCAUUGUGACGUUUGUUCUACCAAGUACGGCCACCAGCGUCCGCACCAUGGCAUGGGUUCCUACUGCUCCAGGCAUGUUUGUAUCAGGAGAUGCACGUCAAGGGGUACUUCGUCUCUGGAAUGUCUCUAAGCCCACACCUAUCCUUAGCCUCAAACUAAAGACCACUGGUUUCCAUUCCCUAUGCGUCUUUAACGCAUCACCCACCGGCUCUGACGACUACGAUUCCCUGUCGUCGGCCACCAACUCAUCAUCAUCCUCCACGUCGUCCUCACCGGCUCAUAGCAAUAACCAUGUAUCAUCGACGAGUCAAGCGGUAGCUCCACGACGGACGAACGAUCUUUAUUCACCGUACGCCCUUCCACCCGGCCAUGCUGUGUGUACAUUUGAUGAUGGUGGGGUGGGGCUCUAUGAUUUGGGGAAAAGACGAUGGGAUUUCCUCAGAGAGUUGGGUCAUGUAGAGACAAUCUUCGACUGCAAAUUCAAACCUGACAACCCCGAUCUCUUGGCGACGGCAUCAUUUGAUGGCACCAUGAAGGUAUGGAACAUCAAUUCCUGGACCGCUGUAGACUCCUCACCAGGCAAUGAAGGCAUCAUAUACUCCAUCUCAUGGGCACCUGCUGACCUGAACUGUUUGAUGGCAGGCACAUCAAGGAAUGGGGCUUUCAUAUGGGACAUCACAAAGGGGAAAAUAAUCAAGAGAUAUACUGAGCAUGGACGAACUAGUGUCUACUCUGUAGCAUGGUGCCAUAAAGACUCAAGAAGAGUUGCGUCAUGUGGAGCUGAUAACUACUGUAUUGUUCGUGAGAUUGAUGGGAAAAUGCUGCAGAGAUACAGGCAUCCAUCAGCUGUGUUUGGAUGCGAUUGGAGUCCUAAUAACAAAGACAUGCUUGCCACAGGGUGCGGCGAUGGCAAGGUAAGAGUAUAUUACAUAGCAACGGCCAACGAGCAACCAUUAAAAACCUUCCCCGGUCAUACAGCUAAGGUAUUCCAUGUACGAUGGUCUCCUUUAAGAGAUGGUAUACUAUGUAGUGGCUCAGAUGACGGGACAAUACGUAUAUGGGACUAUACUCAGGAUAGCUGUGUAAACAUAUUAGUAGGUCAUGGUGCUCAUGUGAGAGGGCUAAUGUGGAAUCCAGAGAUACCCUAUCUUCUCAUCUCGGGCUCGUGGGAUUACACUAUUAGAGUAUGGGAUACCAGGGAUGGUGCAUGUGUUGAUAAGGUAUUAGAUCAUGGUGCUGAUGUGUAUGGUCUAGCCAUGCAUCCCAAUAGACCCUUUAUACUCGCAUCCUGCUCAAGGGAUUCCACCGUUAGGAUCUGGUCUCUGACAUCACUGGUGAUGUCAUCACAGAUGAGAGUGAUCGCCAGGAGACCAUGGCAAGAGAUUGUCACAACAACAGAUCAUGCCAUGGCUGUCAACACCAGCACAUUGAUGUCGGGCAAGGCUUCCAGAGACCUCAAGUCCAAGAUAGAUCAUUACCGUGGUAACGUGGAAUUCAAGACAAUAAUCCGGUGGUUCUCUAAUCUCUUUGCAUCCCCUGGCGAUACAGCUAAUCUCUGGGAACUCGUGUCCAUUAUAAACGGUCAAGACGAUAGCCUUCUACCAGAGGAUUAUAGUAAAGGAAUCAUGCACAGAAAACAUCUCAUCAAGUUCAGAUCGUCUGAAGCUAAAGAACUUGAGCUAGCAAAGCUGGGAGGGCGGGGAGGCCAGACAUCGCGGCUACGGGAAGAGAAGGUGAGAGAAGCUGCUGUGCUGCAUAUGAAGCUGGGUGAAACGCAGAGAUACUGUGAGCUCAUGGUAGAGUUGGGAGAGUGGGAGAAAGCUUUGGCAAUAGCCCCGGGAGUGUCCAUGGAUUACUGGAAGCAAUUGGCUGAGAGAUAUGCGGAGAAUCUGUCAGCUGAUGAGAAUCUUGACUGUGUGCCUUAUUAUCUCAUCACUCACAACGUCGAUAAACUGGUCCGCUUUUACUGCCACCGUGGUCAGCUCAACGAUGCGCUCCUCGUCGCGCAGGUGGCCAGCGAGGGACCCAUUACCAUGGAUACAAGAAGCAGAGGAGGGGUUGUCAACGGGAGGACGACGGCGGGGCACGAGGAGGAAGGGGAUGCGGUCCCGAGGAUGAACGGAAUGCAGGAUGAGGAGGAGUCUAACAAAUUGCUUCUGUCUGUGGUUGAUCUGAUGGCUAAUAAAUUCUUUCACAAUGGGUCACCUGUACUAUCUGCAUGCUGUCAUCUUGCUGCCGGGCAACAAAGGCUUGCUUUGUCCAAAUUAAUAAGGGGACACGAGUUAGAGCUGGUCAUAUCGAUAGGAGAGUCACUGAAAGGAGGCAAGAUCUCGAGUUUGGUUACCAUGGCAACUGAGAUGCUAUCAAGAAGAUGCGAAGGACAGGGAAACUGGGAUCUAGCCUAUAACCUAAUUGAAGACAUUCCUAACAACCAUGAUAUGAAGGUCAGGCUUUGUGCGAGGUGUGUAGGAAGUGCAGCUGAGAUCAACCAUAUGCAUGAAAAGGUGGGUUUCCCCCCUCUGGAAGAUUGCAAAGUGAAGGCCCAGAGCCUGUUAGAUGCAGGGAAUGUGAGGGAGGGUGUAUGCUAUUAUCUACUCUCUUCUACACCAGAGGCUGCCAUGUCUGUGGGUCUCCCUGAAGUCAGAAGAAAAAUGAAUCAGUCUGACUGGGUCGUUGGCGAUGUUUACGACCUUCUGCAAUUAAUGGGCUGUAUAAGGACAGACAGGAUCAUGAUGCAGAGUGUCGCUCAGCAGCGAUGUGAGUUGGUCAUCUUGUCUUGCUAUGUUGGAGCUCUAGUAGCUAUACGAAGGGGUUACCGUUCUAUAGUUGCCCAUCUAUUCAGUGUAGCAUUGAGGCUUAUCAGGGAAGGUGGCUUUGGGUCAGAUCUCCCUCUUUCAGACCCUCUUGUUCAGACUGAAUUAGAAGCAUGGAAUGCUGUAUCUGGGACUAACGUAAGUGUUGAUCAUACCAAAUGUGCCCCUCCAACUCCACUCCAAGAAGACUUCUACCGCAAUCUUAUACGACGGGGAGAAUCUUUGACCUUUGACCUUGAAGCAGGUCAUGACUUUGUGACAGGUUCUCAUCUCCCAAGUCACUCAGAUGUUCACCAUUCUCUGCUGACUGGCAAAAGGAUACAGGGCCCUACAUUCUUCCUGGAUGAUGGAAAGUCUGUGAUAUCACUGAACAGUGCCCUCAUGUGGGCUAAAGUGUGCAUGUUCUCACCGGUAGGAUCAGGAAGGCCCAUCAAUCCUUUCUAAUGAUUAUAAUAGAUUCAAUCUUCAGCACAGUUCUCUUUCCAAGGAUGAACAGUGUAGGGGUCAAAGGUCAAAUUUUUACAGGACAGUGCACUCAUCUGCAGGUCAGAUGUCAGUGUUUUGCAGGACAGUACACUCAACUGCAGGUCGGAGGUCAAUUCUUUUUACAGGACAGUACACUCAAGUGCAGGUCAGAGGUCAAGUUUUGCAGGACAGUGCACUCAACUGCGAGUCAGAGGUCAAAUUUUGCCGGACAGUACACUCAAGUGCAGGUCAGAGGUCACAUUGUUAUAGGACAGUGCACUAAAGUACUGGUCAUAGGUCAAAUAUAUGUAGCAGUGAGUUCAAUUUUUUGUGAGAGAGUUCACACAGCAUAGGUCAUACGAGAGGUCAGAGGUCAAAUACUUGCAGAACAGUUCACUUGCAUUGAAUCAUAUAAAUGUACAGUAUAUAUGAGCAGUCAGAUCAAAUUCUUGCGAGAUAGUUCACUCAUCUUUGGUAAUAUCGAGACCACUUUCUGAUGGGCAAAAGAGACAAAAUCUUGUUGAAAAAUAAUAAGAAUUGUCUUGAAAACCAUUAUUAAUUUUUCAUGCAAGAAUGAUUCAUAUUAAUAAAAAAUCUUUUUAAAGAUCGUGUUGAAAAUAAUAAUAUACAUUGUCUUGGAUACUACCUUCAAUGUCUCGUGCAAGAAUGAUUCAUAUUGAUGAAAAAUCUUGUAGAAAAUAACAAUAUAAUGCAUCUUGAAAACUACCUUUAAUUGUUGUGCAGGAAUGAUUCAUAACUGUUGAGCAGGGUAUGAAAUUUAAUCUUUUCAAAGCACAUUCAAGAGAGAUACUGUAUUUAUGGCUUAUUGUGGAUAAUUCACAAUCUCUCUUCUGUUUGUGUACAUGUAGUUUGUUCAUAUUGUUGUCAUAUCUUGACAUCGUCUUUGGUCAAUAGUUUGUCUAUAUUAUGGCAAUACCUCACUUGACACCUGUAUGAACAAAUCAAUUAUAUAUAUACAGUCCGACCUCUCUUAUCCGGACGUGUUGGUACCAGCACGAAUCCGCAUAAGGGAUUUAUCUGGAUCUGGGAGGCCCAAUAUUAAAUACACACAGCUGCCUCCACAAUAGUAGCUGCACGUAGUCUAUUUAGUGGGCAUACACAGACAGAAUUCACUGCAGUGUCAGUGCAAAUUAUAGGCGGUAUUUUUACAGAAAUAAAAUCGAGUGGUGGCCAAAACUGUUGGAUAAUUUACCUGCUCAAAUGAUUGAGGUAUAAAUCGAGCAUACCUCGAGAGAAAGAGAAUGAAUGACUCAAUGAAACUAAGUUUUACAAUUGGAUCAUCGCGGCGGCUAUCGCAGCUUUGCAAUGUCAGCCAUUGUUACACUGACUGUAGGCUUGAACAUAAUAGAUGGCGCUGUCCGUAUGAGGCCUAGCGUAAGCUAGUGAGACAUGUGUUGUGUUUCCCGGGAAGCAAAAAGAGAACGUGAUGAAAUGUUUGCACUGCGCCCCAAUUUCCUGGAAAAUUAUCCUGCCUAAGUUCUUUCGGUGAUUUGGGUGAGAUAUUUUCAUGAAAAAUAAUGUUGUUGUAGGUAGACUAUCUUGAAAAAUAUAUGUAAUCAAAGGGAGUUUGCGUAUAGGAUUGAGUUUAGAUUGCAACCUCAUUUACUCACGUACUAGAUUGGAUUAAAAAGAAAAAAUCUUGGCAAGUGUGCGUCCGGAUAAUAGAGAGAUCCGGAUAAGGGGAGGCCAGAUAAGAGAGGUCGGACUGUAUAUAUUUUAAAAUAGAAAAUAAUCCUAAUUUAAUGAAUGUGUAGUAUUGCCGACACAAUUUUCAUAAUGAUUAUAAUUCAUUGAAAUGUAUUGAUUAGAUUUUUUUGCAAAUGUGGAAAUGACAGGAGGCAUAAAUUUGACUGUGCACAGUCUAGAACCCAUCGAGAUUCGUCAUCUUUCUUGUUCGUGUAGUUCAACUUGCUUUGAUCAAAUUUCAAAAGAAGAUGUUUUUUUAGAGUCCGUCCAAAUUUUUUUUUUGUUCAAUUGAGGGAAGAGUGUUGUAUUUCACGGGUUAAUGUGGAUAACAACUUCUCUCUUUUGAAUUAUUUAUUCAGCUUUUUGAUAUUUUAAAGUGAAUGAGUGCCCUACCACUUUAUAAUUUCAUUUCUUAAAGUCAAGAAAGAAUUGCAUGGGAUAAUGCAAGUUUGACAUUUUAAUGUGUGUAUGAUUUUAAAUGUUUGUUUUGAAAAAAAAAUACAUCUUUAUUUUAGCCACAUGCCUGUAAAGUUUGACUGACACAACUCAAUAGAUACAUGUUCUGCUGCAUGCACGCUUCAUUAAUAUUGUAAAGUAAUGUUAAUGAAUAACAUUUAAUGUUUUUUAUUAGAUUGCUAUUACAUAGAAAUAGUAACAAUCAAAUAAGAAGUUGUAAUUAAGAUUGAUUACACAGGGAAAUUUUCAUGUGAAACAUGCAUUGAGAAUCCAAGAUAGAAAGAGUCUGGUUUUCAGUUUUCCUUGUUAAGGUGUCUUCUGCAUUAUUUGGAAAUUGUUGUUGUAGUAGACAUGCUGUGGGCCAUUCAGUCAAUAAAUCGCUGGGCAUUGGACUACAAAGUCUAGGGUUCAUAUUCCACCACAGCACUUGCAUUCUUUGGUAAGCCGUUGAUUUACAUUUGCCACCCUCCACCUGGGUUUGGGUGCGCCUGGUAGGAAGGAACUCCUUGAUUGCUUGAGCAUCCAUAGAAUCACUUGAGCUGUGCUUAAGAAACAUAAACUGAAACAUAAACUUAGAAACCAUAAAAUUUAAAGUGCACUGUAUGAAUGGUGCAUAUCAUCAUCUUUAGUAGUAGAGUGUUGAUAGUUAUUUCUCUUGGAAGUUUGUUUUAAGUUAAAGGGGUGUUGUCCCAGUUCAAUUGAGGUGCCAUGUCUUUGUUGACUCAUUGUUUAUACUUUUUAAGCAUAUUCUCUUGGUAUUCACCUGUGUGUCAGUAUGAAGGUCAACAAACUUUUUAAAGAGAAAUGUAUGAGAAGUACACAUCCAAUUUGAUGAAUAAUCAUAUUUAAUUUUUAUUGAAAAAAAAAUAUCCAAUUUGAUUAAGAAGACAUCUUAAGUGAGAAUGAUUGUAAAGUACAUUGUAUUCUUUUUAAUGAAUAUUGACAUGUUUUGUUCGUCCUGUUGUCUUUACAAAACAAUAUUCUCUGUUUCUUU